rnacentral:rRNA from 1 species
GACGAACGCUGGCGGCGUGCUUAACACAUGCAAGUCGAACGCUGAAGCUCAGCUUUUGUUGGGUGGAUGAGUGGCGAACGGGUGAGUAACACGUGAGUAACCUGCCCCCUUCUUUGGGAUAACGCCCGGAAACGGGUGCUAAUACUGGAUAUUCACUGGUCUUCGCAUGGGGGUUGGUGGAAAGGCUUUUUCUGGUGGGGGAUGGGCUCGCGGCCUAUCAGCUUGUUGGUGGGGUGAUGGCCUACCAAGGCUUUGACGGGUAGCCGGCCUGAGAGGGUGACCGGUCACAUUGGGACUGAGAUACGGCCCAGACUCCUACGGGAGGCAGCAGUGGGGAAUAUUGCACAAUGGGCGCAAGCCUGAUGCAGCGACGCCGCGUGAGGGAUGGAGGCCUUCGGGUUGUGAACCUCUUUCGCUCAUGGUCAAGCCGCAACAAUGGUUGUGGUGAGGGUAGUGGGUAAAGAAGCGCCGGCUAACUACGUG